AGAGUUUGAUCCUGGCUCAGGACGAACGCUGGCGGCGUGCCUAACACAUGCAAGUCGAACGGGAAUAUGUUGAAGAUUUAUCUGGGACAUAUUUUAGUGGCGGACGGGUGAGUAACGCGUGGGCAACCUACCCAAAAGAGGGGAAUAACUCAGGGAAACUUGAGCUAAUACCGCAUAAAGUAUUUUUACCGCAUGGUAGAAAUAUCAAAGGAGAAAUUCGCUUUUGGAUGGGCCCGCGUCCCAUUAGCUAGUUGGUAAGGUAGAAGCUUACCAAGGCGACGAUGGGUAGCCGAUCUGAGAGGAUGAACGGCCACAUUGGGACUGAGACACGGCCCAGACUCCUACGGGAGGCAGCAGUGGGGAAUAUUGCGCAAUGGGGGAAACCCUGACGCAGCGACGCCGCGUGAAGGAAGAAGGAUUUUGGUCUGUAAACUUCUUUAAUCUGUGACGAAUAAAUGACGGUAGCAGAGGAAUAAGCCCCGGCUAACUACGUGCCAGCAGCCGCGGUAAUACGUAGGGGGCUAGCGUUGUCCGGAAUUACUGGGUGUAAAGGGUGAGUAGGCGGGUAAUUAAGUCAGAUGUGAAACACACAGGCUCAACUUGUGUACUGCAUAUGAAACUGAUUAUCUUGAGUGCAGGAGAGGAAAGUGGAAUUCCUAGUGUAGCGGUGAAAUGCGUAGAGAUUAGGAGGAACACCAGUGGCGAAGGCGACUUUCUGGACUGUAACUGACGCUGAGGCACGAAAGCGUGGGGAGCAAACAGGAUUAGAUACCCUGGUAGUCCACGCUGUAAACGAUGGAUACUAGGUGUAGGAGGUAUCGACUCCUUCUGUGCCGGAGCUAACGCAAUAAGUAUCCCACCUGGGGAGUACGGCCGCAAGGUUGAAACUUAAUGAAUUGACGG
rnacentral:rRNA from 1 species